rnacentral:rRNA from 1 species
UACGUAGGGUGCAAGCGUUAAUCGGAAUUACUGGGCGUAAAGCGUGCGCAGGCGGUUUUGUAAGUCUGUCGUGAAAUCCCCGGGCUCAACCUGGGAAUUGCGAUGGAGACUGCAAGGCUAGAAUCUGGCAGAGGGGGGUAGAAUUCCACGUGUAGCAGUGAAAUGCGUAGAGAUGUGGAGGAACACCGAUGGCGAAGGCGGCGACCUGGGUCCUUU